CAAGCUUUAAAGAUUGAAUCUGACAUGGCGCAAUUAACUUGAAAAUUUGCUUUGCAAAUAUUUGUGGUGAUAGUAUUUAUACUGGCAGCCGCGGGCGGUGAAGCGAUUGUGCUUGUUCUGACUUUGAGCUAGCUGCUCAGCACCCGAAAGAUGGUGAUCUAUGCUUGAACAGGGUGAAGCCACGGGAAACCAUGGUGGAGGCCCGCAGCGGUUCUGACGUGCAAAUCGAUCGUCUGAUUCGAGUAUAGGGGCGAAAGACUAAUCGAACCAUCUAGUAGCUGGU
rnacentral:rRNA from 1 species